CACCCUGUGUCAUCAGAACACUCAGCCUCUCCUCCCUCAUGCCCAGUGGGGCAACUCCCAGUGGGCGAGAGGGAGGCACAGUGCCACCAGCCUGCUCUCUGCUGCUUCCCGCUGUGCUCUCUGAGCUCCUAAGGCGGCUGCUCCAUGCCCCGUCAACGGGCCAGGUGCAGAGGCAGGCAAGGCUCCACCUCUCAGCCCAGGAAAGUUCGUGAAGGACCAGGUGCCCAAAGCCUCUUGACAGCCGUUGGUAGUCGGAUUCUCUGCCUACCCACCCACCACGAGGCUUCUUGCACUCCCCCCAUAAACUUCUGGGCUUACCGAGAUUAUGAAGGACUACGCGGCGCGGCGCUGAAGCCAGGUGGGGGACUCUCCUCCCUUUGGAACUUGGCCUCGCUUAGCCUCACCGCUCGCUCCAGGAGCCCUGUUAAAAUUUACAAGAAAUUCUCAUUACAUGUCUGAAUGCUCACACCAUCCAGCACAUACUCACUACUACUAAGUCCAAAUAGAUGGUGCAGCUGAUCUUUAUUGAGCAAAAGGCAACUAAGUGAGAAGAUGGACCUCUAUUGUUCAAAGAAGAAUGUCGCUCCUUUCCUUGGACAAGAGAAGGAUUGACAACGAGUCUCUCCCUGACCAAACUUGGAUCAGGCUCCUCUGUGCUUUUUCAAAUGAGGCUUUGACUUUCGGACUUCAGUGUUCAUUGUUACAUUAUCCAGUUUUAUAAGCACUCUGCUCAGUUUAGCCAGAAUCCCUCAGCCUCCACGAGUGGUCACUCUCCAUACCUGAUUGGGUUUCUCAGCCACCAUCACCUGCAGAUGAUGUCUGAUUACCCUGCCUGCUGCCUCCAGCAAGAAUCCUGUUAGGUAGGCUAGCCAGAAGCCCCCUGACCCCUGCUGCUUCCUCUUAGCCAUCUUCCAGUCCCUGGCCCCCCCCCUGGCCCUUGGCUAUAAAUUCCCACCUGCCCAUGGUA